UACGUAGGGAGCAAGCGUUGUCCGGAAUCAUUGGGCGUAAAGCGCGCGUAGGUGGCCUCAUAAGUCCGCUGUGAAAGUCAAAGGCUCAACCUUUGAAAGCCGGUGGAUACCGUGAGGCUAGAGUACGGAAGAGGCGAGUGGAAUUCCUGGUGUAGCGGUGGAAUGCGCAGAUAUCAGGAGGAACACCAAUAGCGAAGGCAGCUCGCUGGGACGUUACUGACACUGAGGCGCGAAAGCGUGGGGAGCGAACAGG
rnacentral:rRNA from 1 species